rnacentral:rRNA from 1 species
AUUAACUUACAUCCAAACCGCCAGGGGAUUACGAGCAAUGCUUAAAACCCAAAGGAUUUGACGGUGUCCCACCCCACUAGAGGAGCCUGUUCUAUAAUCGAUGAUCCCCGCUUCACCUAACCACUCCUUGCUCAUCAGUCUGUAUACCUCCGUCGAAAGCUUACCAUGUGAAUGCCCGCAGUAGGCUUAAUGAUUCACCAUCAAUACGUCAGGUCAAGGUGCAACUUAAGGAAUGGUAAGUAAUGGGCUACAAUUUCUAACUUAGAACAAACGAAAGACUAUGUGAAAUCCUAGUCAUGAAGGUGGAUUUAGUAGUAAAAAGAAACUAGAGUGUUCUUUUUAACCCGGCUCUGGGACGCGUACACACCGCCCGUCACCCUCUUCAAUAGUAUAUAUUCAUGUCUUUAACCCACCAUCACAUUUUAGAAGAGGCAAGUCGUAACAUGGUAAGUGUACUGGAAAGUGCACUUGGUAUAUUACAAAAUGUAGCUUAACAAAAGCCCCCUGCUUACACCUAGGAGAUAUCUGUUUAACUCAGGUCAUUUUGAGCCCAAAAUCUAGCCCAUAAAUUCACAUGACCUCCCCACAGCAAGAAAACAAAACAAAACAUUUCAACAUCUUAGUACAGGCGAUCGAAAAAUUUCUAAGCGCUUAAGAAAAAGUACCGCAAGGGAAUAAUGAAAUAGAAAUGAAAUAACCUUAAAGC